ACAGGGAAUAUACGGUUGUCUACUUGGACCAGUACUUCUUCUAAAACUCACUCGGGGUAAACAACUGACCUGUCGCUAGCCUAAUGAUGACACUAGUCUCCUUCAAUAGCCUAGUGUUCAACUUAGAAUAAAUUGAUAGUGGCAUUACAUUUAUGGAAGCCCCUGGAUCACUGAGAGUCUUCCUUAUACUUAAGGUACUUAUUUUACAAGAGAUAG
rnacentral:lncRNA from 1 species